AUGGUGGCUCGGUCUACUGGAAACUGCAUAAGGGUACGCCCAGGUCAUCUCUUGUGCUUGUGGUUUUUGAAACAGAACAAUGAUGAUUCGGGUUUCAGUACACAGCUCUUUCAUGAAGAUCAAUUUCAGAGCAUGCAUAAAAUAGGUGCUCUAAGCACAGAACAUUCGAGUAGUGCUUCCCUUCGGUUCAUGCAUUCUAGACCAUAUGAACUAGUCUGCUGUGGUGAAAUCAAUUGUCCAUUAUUCAGUACACUUGACCUUUGCAUGGAUAAAAAUUCACUCAAUAUUUUUAUGCUGCCUUGUGAGACUUUGCUGGACACGGGAUGUCGCUAUCACAUGGUGCAUGGUGAAAUAGAUCCAAAAAUGUUGCAACCAUCAUGUAUUCAUUGUGAUCAGUCAACAGGUUACUUUGAGAGUGGCUCUGCUCGAGCAUAUCUGAAAUUGGAUGAAACUUAUGCUGCUGUUGUUCACGAGUGCGCGCAGAGAACUUCUCAAGACUGGGGUAUGCUACUCUCUUUCAAUCAGAGACCACCUGGUGUGUAUUUUGGACUAAUGGCAAAUCUGCGUACUCCUGCUCUAUCUGUAGAUGCUUCAUUGCAGCCGUCGGUGAUUCCCACUUAUGCAAGCAUACAGAUUGGUAACACUCAAUGCAAGUGCGUGUGCACUACCCCAGGCUUAUUUGGCAAAUGGUUAGAGAAGUCUGGGAGCAGUAAAAACAGCAAGGUUGUCUGGCAAACAUCUAUGGAAUAUUUUUGGAGAAUGUGUGCUAAUCAGGCCCUAAAUAUGCCAUUUCUAAUUAGCCUCAUGAGUAACUCAUGCUCAGCUGGAGGGAUCAUAUUCACCUCAUGUGAUCCUUUUAAUUCUUUGAGAAAUGGUGACCAGCUUAACAGUCGGGAGAGCACCACGGCUACUUAUACGUUGGCAUUAACCACUUCCAUUCAGUUCAUGUCCUCUGUGGGAGUUGAGCGCUCGCAUUCAUCUAGUGAUCAAGGUGCAGGCAAAGGUACUGACAAGAAAAAAAAAUCUGCUGACUGCUCCGUAUGA
rnacentral:rRNA from 1 species